rnacentral:rRNA from 1 species
UACGUAGGGGGCGAGCGUUGUCCGGAUUUAUUGGGCGUAAAGAGCGUGUAGGCGGCCAGGUAGGUCUGCUGUGAAAACUCGAGGCUCAACCUCGAGACGUCGGCGGAAACCAUCUGGCUAGAGUCCGGAAGAGGAGAGUGGAAUUCCUGGUGUAGCGGUGAAAUGCGCAGAUAUCAGGAAGAACACCCGUGGCGAAGGCGGCUCUCUGGGACGGUACUGACACUGAGGCACGAAAGCUAGGGGAGCAAACAGG